rnacentral:rRNA from 1 species
AUGCAAGUCGAACGGUAACAGUAAUAAUUUCGGUUGUUAGCUGACGAGUGGCGCACGGGUGAGUAACGCGUACACAAUCUACCCAUUACAGGGGAAUAGCCUUGGGAAACUGAGAAUAAUACCCCAUAGUAUUACGAGAUCGCAUGAUUUUGUAAUUAAAGCUUCGGCGGUAGUGGAUGAGUGUGCGUUCUAUUAGGUAGUUGGUAAGGUAACGGCUUACCAAGCCGAUGAUAGGUAGGGGGCGUGAGAGCGUGACCCCCCACACGGGUACUGAGACACGGACCCGACUCCUACGGGAGGCAGCAGUAAGGAAUAUUGGACAAUGGGCGAAAGCCUGAUCCAGCCAUCCCGCGUGCAGGAUGACGGCCCUAUGGGUUGUAAACUGCUUUUAGAUGGGAAGAAUAGUAUCUAUUUAUAGGUAUAUGACGGUACCAUCAGAAUAAGCACCGGCUAACUCCGUGCCAGCAGCCGCGGUAAUACGGAGGGUGCGAGCGUUAUCCGGAAUUACUGGGUUUAAAGGGUGCGUAGGCGGUUUGAUAAGUCAGGAGUGAAAGUUAUCUGCUUAACGGGGAAAUUGCUUUUGAUACUGUCAAGCUUGAAUCGGGUUGAGGUUAGCAGAAUGUGACAUGUAGCGGUGAAAUGCAUAGAUAUGUCAUAGAACACCAAUUGCGAAGGCAGCUAGCUAGGCCUAGAUUGACGCUGAGGCACGAAAGCGUGGGGAGCGAACAGGAUUAGAUACCCUGGNAGUCCACGCCCUAACGAUG